GGACCCGUAGCUCAGCCAGGACAGAGCGCCGGCCUCCUAUUUUGGCCGGUGUAUAAAGAAGACAGCCGGUGGUCCCGGGUUCAAAUCCCGGCGGGUCCG
rfam:Sulfolobus tokodaii str. 7 DNA, complete genome.